UACGUAGGGUGCAAGCGUUGUCCGGAAUUAUUGGGCGUAAAGAGCUCGUAGGCGGUUCGUCGCGUCGGCUGUGAAAAUCCCCGAGGCUCAACCUCGGGUCUGCAGUCGAUACGGGCGGACUGGAGUUCGGCAGGGGGAGACUGGAAUUCCUGGUGUAGCGGUGAAAUGCGCAGAUAUCAGGGAAAGAAACACCCCCUGGCUAAAGGGCGGGCUCCUCUUAGUACGGGUUACCUGACGCUGAAGACGCGAAAAAAGCGUGGGGGGGAGCAAAAACAGGGAUUUAG
rnacentral:rRNA from 1 species